AGCGAACGCUGGCGGCAGGCCUAACACAUGCAGGUCGAACGGAUCCUUCGGGAUUAGUGGCGGACGGGUGAGUAACACGUGGGAACGUGCCCUUUGGUUCGGAACAACUCAGGGAAACUUGAGCUAAUACCGGAUGUGCCCUUCGGGGGAAAGAUUUAUCGCCAUUGGAGCGGCCCGCGUCUGAUUAGCUAGUUGGUGAGGUAAAGGCUCACCAAGGCGACGAUCAGUAGCUGGUCUGAGAGGAUGAUCAGCCACAUUGGGACUGGGACACGGCCCAAACUCCUACGGGAGGCAGCAGUGGGGAAUCUUACGCAAUGGGCGAAAGCCUGACGCAGCCAUGCCGCGUGAAUGAAGAAGGUCUUAGGACUGUAAAAUUCUUUCACCGGGGACGAUAAUGACGGUACCCGGAGAAGAAGCCCCGGCUAACUUCGUGCCAGCAGCCGCCGUAA
rnacentral:rRNA from 1 species